UAUAGCCACACCACCCUGAACACGCCCAAUCUCGUCUGACCUUGGACGCUAAGCAGGGUCGGGCCUGGUUAGUACUUGGAUGGGAGGAAGAUCAUCCAGCCUGGUUAUCU
rnacentral:rRNA from 1 species